GACGAACGCUGGCGGCGUGCCUAAUACAUGCAAGUUGAGCGCUGAAGGUUGGUACUUGUACCGACUGGAUGAGCAGCGAACGGGUGAGUAACGCGUGGGGAAUCUGCCUUUGAGCGGGGGACAACAUUUGGAAACGAAUGCUAAUACCGCAUAAAAACUUUAAACACAAGUUUUAAGUUUGAAAGAUGCAAUUGCAUCACUCAAAGAUGAUCCCGCGUUGUAUUAGCUAGUUGGUGAGGUAAAGGCUCACCAAGGCGAUGAUACAUAGCCGACCUGAGAGGGUGGGCGGCCGCAUUGGGACUGUGACACGGCCCAAACGCCUACGGGAGGCAGCAGUAGUGCAUCUUCGGCAAGAGGCGAAAGUCUGACCGAGCAGCGCCGCGUGAGUGAAGAAGAUUUUCGGAUCGUAAAACUCGGUUGGUAGAGAAGAACGUUGGUGAGAGUGGAAAGCUCAUCAAGUGACGGUAACUACCCAGAAAGGGACGGCUAACUACGUG
rnacentral:rRNA from 1 species